GUGGGAAAUAGCAACAGCAGCAGGCGCGGCGGCGGCGGGAAUUAGCAACGGAGUAGCAGCGGCAGCGACGAAGGUGGGGCUGGGAGGUGCAGUAGCCUAAACAGCAGGCGCAGCGGCGGCGGGAAAUAGCAACGCAGCAGCAGCGGCAGCGACGGUGUUGGGGCUGGGAGGUGCUGUAGCCUAAACGGCAGGCACGGCAGCGGCGG
rnacentral:lncRNA from 1 species